AACAACAUCUUGUGGUUCUACCCAAGGGUUGACGCCGAGCACCGGGCCGUACUGCAGGAGUAGCGCCCUGCGUCCUUUGUCAACGUCCAUAGCAUCAAGGACCUCCUCACGCCCCUGUGCAGAUGGCGCUCGCUCGUGAUCACAGGAAACCGAACGACGCAUGUGCCCGUUGUCUGUCAGCGCCGACAAGGUUGGUUCUAUGUUAAGGCCCUGCGUCCUCACGUAAGAGGGCAUGAUUCAUAAGCAAACAAAUACUUCAGGCACGAUGGAUAUUGAUGUAGACUACAUCAAAGUGCUGCAGGACCAAAUUGAGAAAAAUUGUGGUGGUGAUGAUUGAUCUGUAUUUUUUUGAAGGGG